rnacentral:rRNA from 1 species
GCCAGUGGCGGCAUGCCUAUAACAUGCAGUCGAACGAACUCUGGUAUUGAUUGGUGCUUGCAUCAUGAUUUACAUUUGAGUGAGUGGCGAACUGGUGAGUAACACGUGGGAAACCUGCCCAGAAGCGGGGGAUAACACCUGGAAACAGAUGCUAAUACCGCAUAACAACUUGGACCGCAUGGUCCGAGCUUGAAAGAUGGCUUCGGCUAUCACUUUUGGAUGGUCCCGCGGCGUAUUAGCUAGAUGGUGGGGUAACGGCUCACCAUGGCAAUGAUACGUAGCCGACCUGAGAGGGUAAUCGGCCACAUUGGGACUGAGACACGGCCCAAACUCCUACGGGAGGCAGCAGUAGGGAAUCUUCCACAAUGGACGAAAGUCUGAUGGAGCAACGCCGCGUGAGUGAAGAAGGGUUUCGGCUCGUAAAACUCUGUUGUUAAAGAAGAACAUAUCUGAGAGUAACUGUUCAGGUAUUGACGGUAUUUAACCAGAAAGCCACGGCUAACUACGUGCCAGCAGCCGCGGUAAUACGUAGGUGGCAAGCGUUGUCCGGAUUUAUUGGGCGUAAAGCGAGCGCAGGCGGUUUUUUAAGUCUGAUGUGAAAGCCUUCGGCUCAACCGAAGAAGUGCAUCGGAAACUGGGAAACUUGAGUGCAGAAGAGGACAGUGGAACUCCAUGUGUAGCGGUGAAAUGCGUAGAUAUAUGGAAGAACACCAGUGGCGAAGGCGGCUGUCUGGUCUGUAACUGACGCUGAGGCUCGAAAGUAUGGGUAGCAAACAGGAUUAGAUACCCUGGUAGUCCAUACCGUAAACGAUGAAUGCUAGUGUUUGGAAGGGUUUCCGCCCUUCAGUGCUGCAGCUAACGCAUUAAGCAUUCCGCCUGGGGGAGUACGGCCGCAAGGCUGAAACUCAAAGGAAUUGACGGGGGCCCGCACAAGCGGUGGAGCAUGUGGUUUAAUUCGAAGCUACGCGAAGAACCUUACCAGGUCUUGACAUACUAUGCAAAUCUAAGAGAUUAGACGUUCCCUUCGGGGACAUGGAUACAAGUGGGGGCAUGGUUGUCGUCAGCUCCUGUCCUGAGAAGUUUUGGUUAAUUCCCCCCACCAACGGCACCCCUUAUUAUCAUUUGCCACCAUUAAAUUUGGGCACCCCGUUGGAACUGCCCGUGGCAAACCCAGGAAAGGGGGGGGGGGGGGGGGAAAAAUAUAAAUAGCCCCUCUUAAACCUGGGGGGCACCCCGCCCUCCAAUGGGAGGGGGGACCCAAAUUUGGGAACCCCCCGGAGGGAGACAAAUUCUUUAUACCCUUUUCUCUCUUCCGUAUGG